GUGCGACAUCUCUUCCUCCAGGUGCACAUCAAGUCCCACUUCAUCAUGAACGGCGUGUGCGUGAGGUGGCGCGGAUGCCUCGACCUCGAGCGACUGGACGGCGUCGGCUGCCUCGAGUUUGACGAGGACGCGGCCAGGUUGGAGGACGCCAUCUUGAGGGACGAGUUGGAGAAGUACAAGGCCAAGCUGCGCGAGUUCGAGGACAAACAGAGACCCUUCAAGCCUUUCGCAGCUGCUUCCACGGCCAAGUAAGAAUGAAAGGAAGAAGAAAAGACCAAGAAGAGAGAAGAGAAAAAUGAAGAAGAAGAAGGGGACAAAGGAGAAAGGGAGAAACAAAAUAGAAGACUGAUAGAAAGAACGAAGAAGA